rnacentral:rRNA from 1 species
GACGAACGCUGGCGGCGUGCUUAACACAUGCAAGUCGAACGGAAAGGCCCUGCUUGCAGGGUACUCGAGUGGCGAACGGGUGAGUAACACGUGGGUGAUCUGCCCUGCACUUCGGGAUAAGCCUGGGAAACUGGGUCUAAUACCGGAUAGGAGCCAUUUUUAGUGUGAUGGUUGGAAAGUUUUUUCGGUGUAGGAUGAGCUCGCGGCCUAUCAGCUUGUUGGUGGGGUAAUGGCCUACCAAGGCGGCGACGGGUAGCCGGCCUGCGAGGGUGGACGGCCACCUUGGGACUGAGAUACGGCCCAGACUCCUACGGGAGGCAGCAGUGGGGAAGAUUGCACAAUGGGCGCAAGCCUGAUGCAGCGACGCCGCGUGGGGGAUGACGGCCUUCGGGUUGUAAACUCCUUUCGCUAGGGACGAAGCUUUUUGUGACGGUACCUAGAGAAGAAGCACCGGCUAACUACGUG